CGAGACAUGGUGUAAACGGAAAACAUUGGCAGCCUUAACCCCCUCACCCCUCUGUCAGAUGCAGGUUCGAUUCCUGCUGUCUCGA
rnacentral:tRNA from 1 species